AAAUGAGCUUGCUCUAUAAGCAUCCAAGCCACCAGCCAAAACAAUUAACUCGACGCAACUCCUGAGGACCAACAACUAGAUAGAAAUCCCUCAUUAAUUAAUCUUUUCUUUUUCCAGAUUCUUGAAAACCUUCCAUCUUCCAUUGCUACUCUCCUCUCUAGAUGCUCUUUCUCCCCCAGGUUGCCAAAUCUAAGCGAAGAACUUAGUCCAUCAGCAUUAUCCCUUUACGAUAUCACUUUCCACCUCUUCUUUAGCAUAUUCAGAAAUCCCAUUUCUCAUCAAGCUUUGAUCCCCUUUCGUCAAACCUUCUGCAGUCAGCAAAUGAGCAACAGCAUUCAUCAAUCAGUUGCCAUGUUUGAACUGACAGUAUUUUGACAAGAAAAAGGCAUCGCCUUCAACUUCGAUUGCCGUAAACCCCAGAUCCAGACCCAAUUGAAUACCCUGAAUGAAUGCAAGGGCCUCCGCCAAAAACACCGAAGAGCACUUAGGAGCAAAAUGAGUGAAAAAUGAGUGAAAAUCGAAGCACCAGAGCAAGCUAUAUGAGCCACACGGGCUGGACCAUUCCACAAGGCCUGGCCACAAAGCAAUGUGACCCACACGAGCAUGUAAUAGGUCAUGAUGAUUUCACUAGAUUUCACACUGAACUUCAGAAAAUCAUGAUUUUUAGGUUUUUCAGGCAUUCUAAGACGUAUAUAUGACAAAAAUAAGAAUAUAUGAGUGAUCUGCCUUAGGAUAUAAAAGAAAACAACCCAAAAAACACCAUAA